rnacentral:rRNA from 1 species
GACGAACGCUGGCGGCGUGCCUAACACAUGCAAGUCGAACGGAGUGUUGCGCUGAAUUGAUGGUAGCUUGCUACAGGAUUUUCUUGUAACACUUAGUGGCGGACGGGUGAGUAACGCGUGAGCAACCUGCCUUACAGAGGGGGACAACAGUUGGAAACGACUGCUAAUACCGCAUGAUGUAUCUUGAAGGCAUCUUCGAGAUACCAAAGGAGAAAUCCGCUGUAAGAUGGGCUCGCGUCCGAUUAGAUAGUUGGUGGGGUAACGGCCUACCAAGUCUGCGAUCGGUAGCCGGACUGAGAGGUUGAUCGGCCACAUUGGGACUGAGACACGGCCCAGACUCCUACGGGAGGCAGCAGUGGGGGAUAUUGCACAAUGGGCGCAAGCCUGACGGAGCAACGCCGCGUGAGUGAAGAAGGUUUUCGGAUCGUAAAGCUCUGUUGAGAGGGACGAGAGAUAUAAUCAGGAAAUGGG